UACGUAGGUGGCGAGCGUUGUCCGGAAUUACUGGGUGUAAAGGGAGCGUAGGCGGACUUUUAAGUGAGAUGUGAAAUACCCGGGCUCAACUUGGGUGCUGCAUUUUACAAACUGGAAGUCUAGAGUGCAGGAGAGGAGAAUGGAAUUCCUAGUGUAGCGGUGAAAUGCGUAGAGAUUAGGAAGAACACCAGUGGCGAAGGCGAUUCUCUGGACUGUAACUGACGCUGAGGCUCGAAAGCGUGGGGAGCAAACAGGAUUAGAUACCCU
rnacentral:rRNA from 1 species